rnacentral:rRNA from 1 species
GACGAACGCUGGCGGCGUGCUUAACACAUGCAAGUCGAACGGAAAGGCCUGCCUUCCCUUGUGGAUUGCGGGUACUCGAGUGGCGAACGGGUGAGUAACACGUGAGUGAUCUGCCCCCAACUUGGGUACAAGCCUGGGAAACUGGGUCUAAUUCCCGAUAGGACUGCAGGGUGGUGCCUGUGGUGGAAAACGAUUUUCUAGUGGUUGGGGAUGAGCUCGCGGCCUAUCAGCUUGUUGGUGGGGUAAUGGCCUACCAAGGCGGCGACGGGUAGCCGGCCUGAGAGGGUGGACGGCCACAUUGGGACUGAGAUACGGCCCAGACUCCUACGGGAGGCAGCAGUGGGGAAUAUUGCACAAUGGGCGGAAGCCUGAUGCAGCGACGCCGCGUGGGGGAUGACGGCCUUCGGGUUGUAAACUCCUUUCGACCGCGAGGAAGCCACCUGGUUGGAAGGGUGGUGACGGUAGUGGUAGAAGAAGCACCGGCUAACUACGUG